UCAGGCAUUCAUAAAAAACAUUGUGAUUGCAUCAUAGCUGUCUUAAAGCAUUAAUAAUGGCUUAUAGGAACUGGUUUUCGAUUCCCGCCGUCAGAGCUGAUGACGAAGAGGACUUAGUUGACCCGCAAGCAGUUUUACGGGAAAAAUGUCAAGCUAAAGGUCACAUAGAAUCUUUGUACAAUAAGUACCAAGAGUGUAAUGAUCGUGUGAAUGGGCGAUCCAAAACAACUGAGACUUGCAUCGAGGAAUUAUUUGACUAUGUUGCUGAGUUAGAUCAUUGCGUUUCCCAUAGUCUCUUUACAAAGCUAAAGUAAAUACCAUUAAAGUCAAUUCUAUUAAAGGAAAGGGCAGUGCUUAAAAUAAGAACAUAAAUAAACAAAUCUCUUUAUCGAGUUUUAUACGUGUUUUGUACCAUUUGGUGAUUAGAAGCGAAAUUGGUACAUUAAAACUUCACUUACUGCCUGCCUAUGAUAAGCCCAAAGCUGUUCCAUAGCGCUCAAAGAAGCCGGAUUCUAAAAAAUCGGAUUUUGGAAAUUUAAAAGCUGGAACGUUUGCCCAUUUUUGCCGUUGCCAUCGUGAGAAUGCGGACUAUGCAUUUAUGCAAUGCGAAUGCGCUGCAAAUGUGUGUAUUUAUAAUACAUUUAAGUAUUUGUACUGAGUACAGUAAUAUGAGUACCUGAGUACACUCAAUAUCUUCCACAUACCACAUCUUCCUCCUUUUGCUAAAAAAAAACGUAACUUAUUUUUAUUAAAUUUUUUUUCAUGAA